AUUGAACGCUGGCAGCAGGCCUAACACAUGCAAGUCGAGCGGGGUUUUCGGACCUAGCGGCGGACGGGUGAGUAAUGCGUAGGAAGCUACCCGAUAGAGGGGGAUACCAGUUGGAAACGACUGUUAAUACCGCAUAAUGUCUACGGACCAAAGUGUGGGACCUUCGGGCCACAUGCUAUCGGAUGCGCCUACGUGGGAUUAGCUAGUUGGUGGGGUAAUGGCUCACCAAGGCGACGAUCCCUAGCUGGUUUGAGGGGAUGAUCAGCCACACUGGAACUGAGACACGGUCCAGACUCCUACGGGAGGCAGCAGUGGGGAAUAUUGGACAAUGGGCGCAAGCCUGAUCCAGCCAUGCCGCGUGUGUGAAGAAGGCCUUCGGGUUGUAAAGCACUUUCAGUAGGGAGGAAGGGUGUUGUGUUAAUAGCACAGCAUUUUGACGUUACCUACAGAAGAAGCACCGGCUAACUCUGUGCCAGCAGCCGCCGUAAAAC
rnacentral:rRNA from 1 species